CCUACGGGAGGCAGCAGUGAGGAAUAUUGGUCAAUGGACGAGAGUCUGAACCAGCCAAGUAGCGUGAAGGAUGACUGCCCUAUGGGUUGUAAACUUCUUUUAUAUGGGAAUAAAAUGUUUCAGGUGGGGGCUUUUGUAUGUACCCUAUGAAUAAGGAUCGGCUAACUCCGUGCCAGCAGCCGCGGUAAUACGGAGGAUCCGAGCGUUGUCCGGAUUGAUUGGGUUUAAAGGGUGCGUAGGUGGAUUUUUAAGUCAGUUGUGAAAGUUUGCGGCUCAACCGUAAAAUGGCAGUUGAUACUGGAAGUCUUGAGUACAGUAGAGGUGGGCGGAAUUCGUGGUGUAGCGGUGAAAUGCUUAGAUAUCACGAAGAACUCCGAUUGCGAAGGCAGCUCGCUGGACUGCAACUGACACUGAGGCUCGAAAGUGUGGGUAUCAAACAGGAUUAGAUACCCUAGUAGUC
rnacentral:rRNA from 1 species